rnacentral:tRNA from 1 species
GGGAGUAUAGCUCAGCUGGGAGAGCACCUGCCUUACAAGCAGGGGGUCAUUGGUUCAAGUCCAAUUGCUCCCACCA